CCUUCUAGGGCCCCUCUGUGUGGCUGUGCCCUGCCCUCUCUCCACCCGGUGACCGAUGCUGGUGAAUCACAGCUGCCCCUCCAACCCUAACCCUGAAGCGGCCCUCACCAGCCCCCUAUCUGGGGACUCCUGCUUUCGGCACUCUCCACCUGAGCGUGGAUCAUGGUCUAUUUUAAAACCUCAGUCUUUGGACCUCCACACUCUGUGACACUGAAAGCUCCCUGAAGCAGAACUUUCUCCUUUUCUCCUCACGUCCACUUUCCAGGGCACAUUGAAUGUUAGCACAGAUCAUUCACAAAAGAAAAAAGAUCACUCACAAAGAAAUCAGGGUAAGUCACCAUGACCAAGGCAACUUCGAAAAGAAGGCAUUGUGGGGUUUACAGUUUCAGAGGUCUCCCACCAUCUCCGUGUGUUCUCUGCUUCUUGUUUGCGGUUCAGGACGUGAGCUCUCAACGCUGAGCUUCCAGCUGCACCUGCCAUUCCAGCUCGCAACCCCUGACAUCCUGGACCCUAACCCUCUGAAACCGUAACCCCAAAAUAAACUUUUUCUUCUUCUUCUGUAAG
rnacentral:lncRNA from 1 species